GGGAGUUGAGCAGGGCCCUGAUCCACAGCUGCACCGCUGGGGCAGGGCCCCUGGAGCUCCAGGCAUGGAAGAAGGCCAACAAGCCAGGCAGCCUAGCUUCUUGAGGUGGAGGCUGCCAUAGGUCUGGAUACCUAGCAACCCAGAAGGGAACCAUCACUUUCUUCCAGGGACAACAUACAAAUGAGAAUGGAGAAGUGCCUAGGAAAGAGGAGGGAGAAACCCACCCGGGCACACAGGAGCUCCAAGGAUAAGUGAGGGGUUGCCCCACUAGCUGGGCAGCUCAUGAACUGGGCAGCACCACGGGUCAAUCACAGCCUUGGCACCAGGAAUGAUUAAUCUGGGUCCUGGGAGGAAAGGGCACAUUCAGGAGACAGACCCACCAUCUGGACUGAGGCCACCAGUUCCCUGUCCACACUCAUCAACCCUGCACAUCGGAGCCAAGUGCUUAGCAGCUCAAUCAAAUUAACUGUGACACUUUCAAAAGCAUCAAAAUAGCUACAAGUCUCCCUAAAAAGAAGGCAGGCGCCUUGUUUUCAAGAAAAGAUACGAAGUCAUCACCCGGAGAUCAGGAAACAAAUAUUCAUUCUAUGACGGCACACCCCUCCCCUUUUCUUCCAUGGUCCCCUCUCCCCCUGAAAAAAAAAGGUUUAAAAAUAUCAGCACCAA
rnacentral:lncRNA from 1 species